AUUGAACGCUGGCGGCAUGCCUUACACAUGCAAGUCGAACGGCAGCACGGGUGCUUGCACCUGGUGGCGAGUGGCGAACGGGUGAGUAAUACAUCGGAACGUACCUUAUCGUGGGGGAUAACGCAGCGAAAGCUGUGCUAAUACCGCAUACGCCCUGAGGGGGAAAGCGGGGGAUCGAAAGACCUCGCGCGAUUAGAGCGGCCGAUGCCUGAUUAGCUUGUUGGUGGGGUAAAAGCCCACCAAGGCGACGAUCAGUAGCUGGUCUGAGAGGACGAUCAGCCACACUGGGACUGAGACACGGCCCAGACUCCUACGGGAGGCAGCAGUGGGGAAUUUUGGACAAUGGGGGAAACCCUGAUCCAGCAAUGCCGCGUGAGUGAUGAAGGCCUUAGGGUUGUAAAGCUCUUUUACCAGGGAUGAUAAUGACAGUACCUGGAGAAUAAGCUCCGGCUAACUCCGUG
rnacentral:rRNA from 1 species